rnacentral:rRNA from 1 species
UGGGGAAUUUUGGACAAUGGGCGCAAGCCUGAUCCAGCCAUUCCGCGUGCAGGAUGAAGGCCCUCGGGUUGUAAACUGCUUUUGUACGGAACGAAAAGGCCUGGGUUAAUACCUCGGGCUCAUGACGGUACCGUAAGAAUAAGCACCGGCUAACUACGUGCCAGCAGCCGCGGUAAUACGUAGGGUGCAAGCGUUAAUCGGAAUUACUGGGCGUAAAGCGUGCGCAGGCGGUGAUGUAAGACAGGUGUGAAAUCCCCGGGCUUAACCUGGGAACUGCAUUUGUGACUGCAUCGCUGGAGUGCGGCAGAGGGGGAUGGAAUUCCGCGUGUAGCAGUGAAAUGCGUAGAUAUGCGGAGGAACACCGAUGGCGAAGGCAAUCCCCUGGGCCUGCACUGACGCUCAUGCACGAAAGCGUGGGGAGCAAACAGGAUUAGAUACCCUGGUAGUCCACGCCCUAAACGAUGUCAACUGGUUGUUGGUCCUUCACUGGAUCAGUAACGAAGCUAACGCGUGAAGUUGACCGCCUGGGGAGUACGGCCGCAAGGUUGA